GACGGAGGGUGCAAGCGUUGCUCGGAAUCAUUGGGCGUAAAGGGUGCGUAGGCGGCUUUUUAAGUCUGACGUGAAAGCCCAGGGCUUAGCCUUGGAAGUGCGCUAGAAACUGGAAGGCUAGAGUGCCGGAGGGGAGAGUGGAAUUCCUGGUGUAGCGGUGAAAUGCGUAGAUAUCAGGAGGAAUACCGGUGGCGAAAGCGACUCUCUGGACGGUAACUGACGCUGAGGCACGAAAGCGUGGGGAGCAAACAGG
rnacentral:rRNA from 1 species